UACGUAGGUGGCAAGCGUUGUCCGGAAUUAUUGGGCGUAAAGCGCGCGCAGGUGGUUCCUUAAGUCUGAUGUGAAAGCCCACGGCUCAACCGUGGAGGGUCAUUGGAAACUGGGGGACUUGAGUGCAGAAGAGGAGAGCGGAAUUCCACGUGUAGCGGUGAAAUGCGUAGAGAUGUGGAGGAACACCAGUGGCGAAGGCGGCUCUCUGGUCUGUAUCUGAUGCUGAGGCGCGAAAGCGUGGGGAGCAAACAGG
rnacentral:rRNA from 1 species